rnacentral:misc_RNA from 1 species
AACCAUUCUCACCUGCGGCUAGACCUGCGGAAGGAUCAUUACCGAGUUAGGGUAGUCACUCACUGCCCGACCUCCCAACCCUGUGUCUACCACACUGUCGUUGCUUCGGCGGACCGGUUGACCAACUGGUCAUGACCGCCGGGGGCUGGCUCUGUCCCCCCUGGAGAGCGUCCGCCGAUGGCCCAACCACAAAACUCUUGUACCGAAACGUGUCGUCUGAAUUAUAUUUGAGAAAUCAAA